GGGGAUAUGCAAUUUUCAUAUACAAUCUUUCCAAAAUAAAUAGUAAAUUAUUGAACAGCUUUUUGUUCAGCUUGAAUUGAGUUGCUGUGUCUCACCUUUAAAAAGAACUCAAACAUGGACUUAUUACCUAACAGUGUACACUCAUGAUUAUGAAAUUUAGCUAAUAAUACGUUCGUGAUUAUAUGCAUGUACAUAUCUUUAUGAAUUUUUAGGAGAGCAAACAACUCUUUCCUUAUAUUAAUAUUUUUUAAAAAGUUCAUGAAUAUUUAAAUAAUGAAAGCAAAAAGGUUUUUUUCCCCCAGAAAGAUUUCAUAAAACAUAUCAAAAUAUAUACGAUCACCUAUCUGUCUUAGCCGUAACACGUCAUAUAUACAAACCACACACACAGUAUUCACACACACUGUUUAAAAUGUUCCUCUGUUGACGUGGGAAGAGAUUUUCAGGAUCCGCCUCCAUCAGGACGGUUUAUGUGGAUCUUCACUACGAUGACAACAGACCAGAGAUUCUCCUCUAAAUGUGCUUAUAAAGAUUAUAAGAUGGAGCAGGACGAUGGGCGUGAGGUGAGAGGUCACGGGGAAGAAGUGCACGCUACAGCUGAGCUAAUCUAUAACCUCGCGUUAAUGUUUAUACUGCAGGAGAAAAUGAUUGAAAAACUCGUCCUCACCUCCAGCCUGAGACUCUGAAGUUCACAGGAAUCACAGAACAGAAACGAAGGAGAAAAAGAGAGAGACGUUAAUGUCAUGACCUGCGAUCACAUCGCAUCACAUCACUGAUGACAUCCGCCUGUUCACUGAAAGGAAAAGAUUUCAUUUUUCAUAUAAAAAAAAAAGUAGAUUACUGCAGGGGGUGCCAAUACUUAUCACAAUAUUGUUUUUAAAAAAUAAUAGUAUCAUGCUACUGAGUGGGUGGGGCUGGGGGUGGGGGGCAGAGUCAGGUAGACAGACAAGGAGAGCUGAGGGGGGUGGAGUCAAAGAGAUGGAUAGAUAGGGACCUGAGGGGUGGAGUCAGUGGAUAUAUAGAUAAAGAGAGCUGAGGGGGUGGAUCAAGUAGAUUGAUAGAAAGAGAGUGCUCAGGUGGUGGAGUCAGUGGAUGUAUAGAUAAAGAGAGUGGAGAGGGCGGAGUUAAGAGGAUGGAUAGGUAAAGACAGCUGAGUAGGUGGAGUCAAGUUGAUUGACUGAUAGAGAGACCUGAGGGGUGGAGUCAAGAAGAUGGGUUGAUAGAGAGUUAGAGAGAGUUAGAGAGAGUUAAAGGGGAGGGGUUUGAGGGGGCGGAGUCAGUGAGUGCUCCUGCUGUUACUCACCUUGUCUUUUAAACAUUGCGAAGCUGAGCAGAAGAAGAGUGAUGAAGACCGAAGCUCCUACGAGCGGAGUCGCAACAGACAACACAGACAAGUCUGAAACACACACACACACACACACACACACACACACACACACACACAACACUUAAACUUAAAGCAAAUAUUUUAU
ensembl:lncRNA